CCUGGUAAUAACCUGAGACAUUACCUGGUUAUAACGUGGUUAUAAACCACGUUAUAACCAGGUAAUGUCUCAGGUUAUAACGAGG